AAACAAGUUGCGUGCUCAACCAUCAGGAUGAUUAAUUUUUGCAAUGCUUCUUUGUUUUUCAUCUCUCCCAUGUUUUUAUGUUUGAAAAUCUAUUGUUUGUAAAUUAUUGGAUGUAAAUGUUGGAUAGCAUGCAGAGAGAAUCUCCCAUGUCAUUUUUAGACUGCAUCUUGUUGUAGGCAUUUUUUUAAGAUUUAAUUUUUCCUUUUUCCCUUCUAUAUUCUAGGUUGAGGAGGAGGUGAGUUGGUCGCUAUUUCUGUAUUUUGGUUUUGUGUAGGUUUUGUAAUCUUCGGCAUGAAUACAGAAAAUUUUCAGUCAUAUGUUGUUGAAACUAUUGGUGAGCAUGCUUAGCCUUGCUUUUUGCUUAUGGU
rnacentral:misc_RNA from 1 species